ACCUGGGUGGCUCAGUCAGUUGUGCAUCUGACUUCAGCUCAGCUCAUGAUCUCACAGAGUUCGUGGGUUCGAGCCCCACAUCAGGCU
rnacentral:tRNA from 1 species